rnacentral:tRNA from 1 species
AGCCCCAUCGUCUAGCGGCCAAGGAUGACAGCCUCUGGAGCUGUAUACCCCGGUUCGAAUCCGGGUGGGGCUA